rnacentral:lncRNA from 1 species
CCACUUCCCCUACCCGGACCCUGCGGCCUGGACAGACGAGGAGCUCGGGAUCCCUCCGGACGACGCGGAGUAGGUGCCUCCAGCCGCGGGUGCCGGCAGCACAGUGGUCCCUGGAACUAAAGAGGUCCCUGGAACUAAAGCUUUGGCUCCUUGGCCUUUAUUUCAAUAAAAGUUGACUGUAAACAACAUCUUAAGCUGAAUUGUACUUUGGUUUUGAGUGCCGCAGGAUUUCUGGAGAGUGAACAUCACAACUUUAGAGGUGGGAUACUUGAGUCCACAUGAGCUUCUGUAACGUUUGCUCCGUUUAUCACGCGCUGCCCUCAAGAAAUAAGGUGACAUAUUCGUGUUCAGAGAGUGAUUUAAAACUUCCACGAAUGCACUGUAGGGUCCGACCACCGAGUGCCACACCUUCCAUCACCUUUUACAGAAACACAGACAUUGCGCCUCUCGUGGACACCCCCAAGAGACCGGUGCACAUUUCCUCAUCUGGCAAAAGCAGCGCGCGCUCAAGUAAGAGACGGUGCAAGUGAUGCACGACAGGUCGCACACGCGGAUGGACCUGCUCCUUCAGAACAAGGCAGUCACAGAAGGCAACAGUGGCCAGCCUGCACAUGUCUUUUGACAAAGGGACACAAUUAGGCAGCUGAUGACUUUUGCGGUUGCUUAAAAAAAGGGUCACGCGCCCAGCUCUGGGAGCCCGUGCAGGGAGGGGAGGAGCACGGUGCUGGCAGCUGGGACGGCCGUGGUAGAGGUGGGCUGGCUCCUGCACCCCCAGAGUGGGGGACCUGGCUCUGGUGGCACAGGGCAGCCCCCAAUCCCAAAGGUAUCCCAUGGGUGGCAAGGAGUGGGGGCCAGGACUUUCCCCGAUCCCAACAAACGAGAUCAGAAGAAAAGCAACGUUAAUUUGGGUUGCCAAAACAUGCAAAUUGGCCACUGUCAAGUUUCUGUCAGUUGAGGAGAAGUGUGGAGAGGGGGAAGGAAGGGGGGCAGGUAGGACACAAGGCUCGUGAAGGAAUGAUGUGCAUUUUUUUUGUCAUUGAUUUUUUUUCCUAAAGGUUCACAGCUUUGAAUAAAAAAAAAAGCACAUUUAUUGCACUUACAUUUUAUUUUAGAGAGUUAAUUUAAAUUAUGCCCUCAAAACCCCCCACCAUCCCAAAAUAACCCAACACCCAAGUUUGGUCCAUUUUGCCCCCCAGACCCAACAUCUGUGCCCAGAUGGCAGGGCUUCAUUUCUUCUCUAAAUGUUCCACUGAACUCCCAAACACACAAACAGAUUUUCUUUUCAGCUAGGGUGAAUACACAAAUACAACGCAGAAUGACAUUUAUCAAAACAAAACCCAACCGUUUUCCAAACCCAAACGACAACAAAAAAGA